GUGCUCUUCCUAUCUGUUUUUUCUCCCAUUUAAAGACAAGUCCUGGGACAUUUGUAGAGUCUGGGUAUUUUUCUUUUUACCAGUUUUUUAGUUUGGGCUCUCAGGAUUACGGGCUAUGGCAAAAAAUGUUUGGUCACUUUUAUUUUCAAAUGAUGUGCAUUUAGGGACAUUUUAAAAACUUGUAUACAAUGUUUAUCAUGAUUAGGAAGCAAUUUCUAAAUGCAGCUGCAAGAACAUGAUUAGAGGUGG